rnacentral:tRNA from 1 species
UGGCUCAGUUGGUAGAGCAUUAUGCUUGCAAUGUCAAGAUUGUGGGUUUGAUUCCCAU